rnacentral:lncRNA from 1 species
CGCAAGACAUUUUCAUUAAUUUUUGUAAAUCCACACUAUGGAUACACAAUACACACACAAAUUACAAUCAUUAGGAAAUACAAUGGAAACAAAGAACAAUAAAAACUAGCACUCCUUAGCAGUCAUGUAUCUAAAUAACUUUUAUUUAUAGAAAACGUUUUUGGUGUGCAUCCACCAUCAUCAGGCUACAAGUUUAUUAACAAAAAAUGAAAAAAUUAAAAAGAAUAUUGAAUACAGAAUUUCGAAAAAUUGGUAGGUUACCAUAGUUACAUUAGAUAAACAACUUAGAUUACAUAAACAAAACAUUUAAAUAUUGAGUUAACAGUGAAAUACAUAAAAGGUUGUUUUAAAAAAUAUUUACAAUAUUUAUAGAGGGUAUAAACAUAGAAUGUCCUUGUGUAAAUAGGGUAUUGUUGCCCAGCUAUGUCAUAUGCAUUUCAUCUUAUGUGGAAAAUGACUUUCAUGCUGCUGCUUCCGGCUAACUUACCGUCAUCCACUCUGACCUUCAUCUUCUUGAUCGUUCAUCAGGUUGGUACCAGAGUUCUUUUGAUAUCUUUGGUGGGUCUUCCUUGCAUCUUCUAACAGAUAUCUCCAAGGUGUGUGUAUUUCAGCUGGUCAUUUAGGAGCUUCAUGUUCCUGCCUGCUUAGAAUCUUUAUUAUUUCUGCCAUUAGGGCUUGAGACCAUCUAGUGAUCGGCCUAAUUAUCCUAGCCUCUUCCCAUUGUAUUUCUAAGUCAUUAGUUUAUGCUUCUAUCACUAAGGAGUGGUUAACUUUCCAUUAACAAUAUCCUUUUUAUGCUCAUCCAGUCUCUGGGCUAAUGCUCUGUUUGUCAUGCCAACAUAAGCUGCCUGUUGCUGUAUGGUGCUGUUUUUCCCUGGUAUUCUAUAAAUGCCCGACCUCUCUUGGUCCUCUCGUGGGUCCUUCUUGUUACACAGCUUAUUAAAUAUUGUUGGUUCCCUAUGUACGGCUAAUCUUUUUCUAGUUUGCCUCGCCACUUUCUUUAUAAACCAUAGCUUAUUCAAAGUGUAUGAUACUGGCAGAUAUUCGGCCUCAUGUGUCGCAGUUAUGCUCUCAUUGGUACAUUCACUACGGAGAGUUCUUUGCACCUUAUGGUAUAUGCUUGACAAGCAGCUACCAUAAGAUAAUCCUGUAUUUUUUAUUUUGUUUUAAUUUUAUUUAUUUAAUAGAUAAUUUAAUAGAUUGCCA